GACGAACGCUGGCGGCGUGCUUAACACAUGCAAGUCGAACGGAGCACCCUUGACGGAGUUUUCGGACAACUGAUAGGAAUGCUUAGUGGCGGACUGGUGAGUAACGCGUGAGGAACCUGCCUUUCAGAGGGGGACAACAGUUGGAAACGACUGCUAAUACCGCAUGACGCAUGACCGGGGCAUCCCGGACAUGCCAAAGAUUUAUCGCUGAAAGAUGGCCUCGCGUCUGAUUAGCUAGUUGGUGAGGUAACGGCCCACCAAGGCGACGAUCAGUAGCCGGACUGAGAGGUUGACCGGCCACAUUGGGACUGAGAUACGGCCCAG
rnacentral:rRNA from 1 species